UUGAAUCUGAUUUUUGCUCUCUAAGUUGAAGUUUAUGCUUCAUACCUGAGAGUAAAUCGGAUCAAGAGCUUGCGGGGACCUUCUGUAAGUAUUCUUUCGUUCUUUUCAUUCAUUUAUAUCGUUAAAGUCAAACUGUGUUUGACUUUAUACUUUGACCAGUUUAUGGUCAAUGCGAAGUUUGUUUGAACUUCAUAACGUGAGCGUAAUCACGAUGGUUAUAGUCCCUAGUAACUAUACCUACUGAUUACCACGUUAUCUAGGCUCAGUGGCGAGUCGUAGUUUCGGCCAAAAUGCGUUUUCUCCCGUAUUUUGUAACCAAACUACUCUAGGAUGUCAAAACCGUUUGUUUUGAUAUCAAAACCUGUUUUCUAACUUAACUAAACAUGUUUCGACAUGUUUAGCUCGUCACUUGUUAGUUUAGUGCUUGUGUAGAGUCGUAAGUCAAGCGGACUAAACACCCGCUUAGACUUUCGAACACGACCCGUUUGGUCGAUCAUUAGGAUCCGACCAAACAUGUUUAGUGACCAUAGUAGCGUAGGGAAUAACCUUCCGAGGUUAUACCUUAUGGUCACUUAGGUUUGAUUAGUCGCAUGAUAAGUAGUUUAUGUGCCUUUGGUAAAUUACCAAAAUACCCUUUUCAUACAUAAUUGGUAAUUAAGCAUAUGUAACCUAAAAUUUUGUCACGUAACUGAUUAUGUAACAUAAUUAAACAUGUAUGGGCAUAUAAUACUUGUCAUAGGACCAGUUAGACGUCUCGAACGCGCUUUUGCGUGCACGACGCGUUAAAGUAGCGUAAGCUACCUUAAUAGGUCACGAUGGGUCGAAAGCACUUAGGUUAGGUUCCGAUUUAGGAUGUAGGCUUUGUUAAACCAUAUCACAUGAGUUCCAACACUCAUUUGGAGCUACUUGAUUUCUCUGGUUUGCUCGAGUUUGUUGAAGUUCUAUUUGAUCGAGGAUACUUUGCACUACAUGUGACUACAUAGUUCCCCUAUUUUACUGUUUUUAAAUGUUUUGGGGUGAUUCAUAUGUACGAAAUGUUUUCAAGGUUUAAACGAUGAUUUCAAAAACGAUUAAAAUGAUUUUUACUAAACUAAGAACGAUUUCGAUAAAGUGAACGAACUUGUUGGUUGUAGAUACAUAACGAAUGACAUUCAUUAGCAUUGAUCAAGCCGACCAGUAUUAGGUUAUGGUACCAUAGGAUCUGACAAAUCCCGUUACUUUACUACACCCAUGGUUAUGUGUGGGGGUUGUGGGUAGCGACUGAAUCUGAUGUUUGUUAACUUACCCUUUGGUGGUUUGUUAAUACGAGAACGAGUUGAACGAUGGACGAGUCACAAAGGUUUGAAUGUUGUUAACGAGACGACCAUAUAUAAGUUUUCACAAUUAAAACGAUGACGAUUGGAAACGAUUUGGAAACAAGUAAACGAUUGGGAACGAUUGGAAACGAUUUGGGAACGAGUAAACGAUUUGGAAACGAUUUGGAAACGAUGUUAAACGAUUUCGAUAAACGAUUGGUUUUUGGUUAAGUGUUUAGAUAACAAGACGGGGGUAAUGUGGUGAAAACAUGGUAGAUAUGCCAUUGGUACUUCUUAUAUAUAAGUGUUUUCAUCAUAUUACAUAUCGCGGCGUUAUUUAGUUCACUUGGGUAAACGAUUUUGAAACGAUUUCACAUAACGAUGUUUUUCUAAGAGAUAUAAACUAUACGAGUUUUUAACGAGUUUUUACAAGAUGUUUUACAAGUUGGGUUUCUAAAGCAAAUGUUUUUGGCUUAAGAAUCAUGGCUACGAGGUUUUAUAAACUAUAACCCGCUUGAUUUGAGUUGGUUAAUUAAGUUGCAAUAUUAUACUCUUUUCAAAACAAAGUUUUUAAUAAAGUAUUGCAACACUUAAACUAGCCAUGAAUUCGACACUCCUAUAAAACCUAUGUACUCGCCAGCAUUUCUUUGCUGACUAAGUUUUUACAUAUGUUUCAGGUGUUGAUGCUUGAAUGACUACUAGGAUGCAUGCGUCACAUAGGAUCUGGACGAGGCCUUAGUGACAUAAUAAUAGUGAUAGACGAUGUAAAACUUGUUUAUUCUAUGUUAAGACAAUGCAAUGUUUAAUAUUAUCAAUAAAACGAAACACUUU
rnacentral:lncRNA from 1 species